CUGGAGUGAAGAUAUGUGCUACUAGAGUUUGCUAGAAGUUGAGUAAUAUAAUGUGGAGCCUUAAUAGCAAGUAGUGUACCUCUUGUUGUAGCGUGUCUUGGAUGAUAUUACAGAGAUGUUUAAAACUCUGACCAGA
rnacentral:snoRNA from 1 species